UUCUCAUCUGUCAAAAGGGCCUGAUGGUAGUACCUUCCUCAUCAAAACGUUCCAGUAAGGGGCCCAGUGAGGUGGCUUCCUCCUCUGGUCCACUGAAUGCGUGCGUGGCGGGCAUUUAAAGCAGUGUCAGGUAUACGUAGUUACGUGUUUGCAGUGCCGGUUCCCACGUGCUGGCCGCCUGUGGCCCACCCUCUGCUCCCUGGCACACAGCCUAGGAAAGAGAGUCUGGUGGCCCUGGGUCAUCCCCAGCUGAGUUUGCCAAAUGCCCACAUGGCAGCCCCUGCCUAGGGUCACUCUGCAAGGCAGGUGGCUCAGCUCCAGCCAGAGAAGACAGGCUGCAUCUGCCGCCCUUCCUUUCUCUAAAGGACAAAUGUGUCCUGUGCAAUGACUUUGGUAUUACACCCAGAAACAGAUCCCCACUCUGUCCUUACUGACUGGGUCAACUUGGCAAGUCAUGUCAACCCCUUGAGCCUCAGUUUCCUCACCUGUGAAAUGGAGCUAGGAAUAGGUAGUUGUGGGUCCACAGCUUUGCAGGCAUGACUAGGGGCAGGUCAAGAAUGCGGACUUCCUGCCCCACUUUGAAGGUGGUAGAAGCUGCAGUUAGAAGUUUACUCCAGGCCAAAAGGGGCAUCACAAAACCUGUGAGGAUGGGCCAUCAGAAAGUCCCAUGACCUGAUGGGCGGAGCAGGCCCUGUGUCCUUAAGAAAAGGUGGAGUUCUUGCCCUGCCACCCCUGACACCAGCAAAGCCACUGCUCAAGUAUCUGUGGAUGAUGGAUGGCAGCGGGGCAGGUUAGACCGGGGAUUCUCAACCAAGUGGGUCUUUUUGUUUUGUGUUUUUUCAGACAGUCUUGCUCUGUCACCCAGCCUGGAGUGCAGUGGUGUGAUCUUGGCUCACUGCAACCUUCUCUGCCUGGGUUCAGGCGAUUCUCCUGCCUCAGCCUUCAGAGUAGCUGGGAUUAUAGGCACCUGCUACCACACCCGGCUAAUUUUUGUAUGUCUGGUAGAGCCAGGGGUUCACCUUGUUGUCCAGGCUGGUCUCGAACUCCUGACCUCAAGUGAUUCACCUGCCUCCGCCUCCCAAAGCACUGGGAUUACAG
rnacentral:lncRNA from 10 species